UUAAUUACAUGUUUGAUUAGCUUUGUUGUAAGUCUUAUUUGCUAUCGACGCUGAACUCUUCUGUGAGUUCAGCCUUCAUGGUGUGGAGGACGUGAUUACUAGAAGUAUAAGGAAGGACUGGAAUGUGGGCAGAGUCCCAACCAAGGAGCACCUGUCAGGAAACAAUGCGGCCAGAUGGAAUGUAUUGAAAGACCAAGGGGUUAAGAGCAGUGCUAGAGACAGAGAACAGAGACACCUUCAGAAAGCAGGUGGGCACAGAGCAGAGAGGGGGCUGGAGAAAAGGCAGAAGCAGGGUGGAGACUGCACCACACCAAGCAUAGGCUAGGGGCAAGUGCAGAUGAACUGGGGCUGACAUAGCUGGGGCACCUGGUAUGCAGGUACAUAUUUAAGGAUCUGAAGAUGAUAUUGGAUCCACGGGACAAACUCAGUGCAUUUAAAAAGGUUUGGAUAUGGCGGGUGUACCUUUCAAGGAUCAAAACUGGAGAAAAUACACGAAUGUUGACAGCAGCACUAUUCACAACAGGCAAAAGGUAGAAACAACCCAAAUGCCCACUGAGUCAUGAACGGAUAAACAAGAUGUGGUCCGUCCAUACAAGGAAAUACUGUUCAGCCUUAAAAAGGAAGGGGGAAAUUCUGACACCUGCUACAACAUGGAUGAACCUUGAGGACGAUACAGCAAGUGAAAUAAGCCAGACAUAAAAGGGCAAAUCCAGUGUGAUUCCGCUUGUAUGAGGUUCCCGGAAGAGGCACAGUCAUGACGAGGAAGUAGAACAGAGGUUACGAGGGCUGCGGGAGAGGGAGUGGGGGGUUAUGUUUAACGGGGAUAGAAUGUCCAUUCGGGAAGGUGGAAAAGCUCUGGAGGUGGAUGGUGGUGAUGGCCGCACAGCAAUGUAAAUGUAUGUAAUUCUACUCAAACGUACAUUCAGAAUUGUACGGUAUGUAUAUUUUACCACAAUAAGAAAUCUAGAAGAAGGUUGGGAUAUUGAGGGAGGAGACAACAGGAGGCAAAACCGUUUUAAGGUUGUUCCCUGGGGCACCAGCUUUAAGCAGAGGAUGGGCACAGACAAGGACAUGGCAGGCUGAGGGGCCCUACACCUGGGGACAGACAAGAAGGGCCGGCAGGCCGGCCACGCCCAGUGGACCACGUGCUCCCUCCUCAUCUGCAGGUAAGUUUGGCUUGUUCCCACUGCAGCCCCAUCUCUGCAGCUCCCGUCCCAGUUCUAAUUACAGCCGCGGUGAUGCCAGGAUCACAGCGCAGAACACAGGCUAGAAUUCAGAGUCGGCCGGUGAACAUUCACAUGUAGCAAGAAAGGCACCAAACUGGGGGAGGGAUGGAUUGGGAGUUUGGGAUUAGCAGAUGCAAACUAUUAUACAGAAAAGGGAUAAACAGCAAGGUCCUACUGUAUAGCACAGGGAACUAUAUUCAAUAUCCCAUGAUAAAACAUAACUGAAAAGAAUAUGAAAAAGAAUAUAUAUAUGUGUAACUGAGUCACUUUGUUGUCCAGCAGAAACUAACAUAUUUGUAAGUCAACUAUACUUCAAUAAAAUAAAUUUAAGUGAGCAGUUGGGGCAAAUUCUGGACAAAAGAUACAAAGAGACCAAAAAAAAAAACCUAACUUCCAAUUUUGAAGAGCCUGGAGCAAAAACUGGGUGUCAGGAUCAGAAGCAGGGUACUGCGCCUGCCCCCUGCACGCAACACCACCUAAGGGGUGGGCAAAACACCUAAGCCACCCCUCUGGCUCAACCCUUGGACACACCCUUACCCUCACCCCCUAUAAGGAACAAGCUCCCCCACACACACAGGGAGCGAGACAGCGAGGGAACCUGUUGUUUGUUCUCACUCCCUCCUGCAGCAGCAGGGGCCCCAAUAAAGAGCCUUGCCUGAAAUAAUUAAUUAAUUUAAAAACUUUUAAAAGAAAGACACAAAACUGAACCCAAGAAAUAGAUGUCUUUGGAUAUUUAUCUAAAGAAAUACUCCUUUUAGGUUAGCUGUGACAAAGUGAGAGAGUGGCAUGGACAUAUAUACACUACCAAACGUAAAAUAGAUAGCUAGUGGGAAGCAGCCGCAUAGCACAGGGAGAUCAGCUCGGUGCUUUGUGACCACCUAGAGGGGUGGGAUAGGGAGGGUGGGAGGGAGACGCAAGAGGGAAGAGAUAUGGGAACAUAUGUAUAUGUAUAACUGAUUCACUUUGUUAUAAAGCAGAAACUAACACACCAUUGUAAAGCAAUUAUAGUCCAAUAAAGAUGUUAAAAAAAAAAAGAAAUACUCCUUUUAAAAAUGCCUACCAUUUGCUAUCCUGAGCUGUUUUGGUUUUUAAGAUUAUAUUUUUAUAAAAGGAAAAGCAUCGCGGAUGAUUAGCAUGACAUCCUAGUAUCUUCGUGUAGAUGGUGUGAUUGACACACACGGAAGAUGUGUGUCGGGUUGAAGCCUGUAGGUCAGGGCCGGAUGGAGGCUGAACCUCCUCGAGGGACCACAGAGCCACCCUGUCACCGAGGUCCCUGCUGCCCAGGCCUGCUUAGCGCUGCUCCAUGUGUCUUUUCCAUACGGUGGGCAGCUGCUCUGUGGGUUUAGUUAGCAAGUGGUGGGAGCGAUUCAUCGUCGCCCGGCACCUCUUAAUCACAUUUUAAUAAAACCAUAAAUCAGCACCUCACAGCAAGAUAAAUCCCCAGAAGGCACGGCAGUGCCAUAGGAACAGGAGUCAAACCAGAUGGCAUGGGUGAUUCGGGGACACCUGGGUAUCAGUAGUGCCCAGCGGGCAAGGCCCUGUGGGGCGUGAGCACCUAGAAUCUAUGGCAACAGCCAAGCGUAACCCAGGGCCUCUCCCGAGAGCUCAGUCCUAGAUCUGGGCUUAGGAGCCAGGUUUAGGGUUAUAUUCAGCCCAUAAGCACCUGCACAGCCAUACCUGUUGAUAGAAUAUUGAAAUGGUUCCCUACCAGAUGCUAUGGACUGAGUGUGUGUGUCCCCCCCCAAAUCUGUAUGUUGAAACUAACCCCUAAUGUGAUGGUAUUUGAAGGUGGGGGCUUUAGGGGUGAUUAGGUCAUAGGGUGGAGCCCUCAGGAAUGGGAUUCAUGCCCUCAUAAUGGGUUGGAGAGACCAGAGCACUGUCUCUCCAAGAAGACAGCCGUCUGCCAAACUAGGAAGAGAGCCCUCACCACCAGACACCCAAUCUGCCAGCACCUUGAUCUUGGACACCCAGCCUCCGGACCGUGAGAAAUAGAUGUCUACUGUUUAAGCCCCACAGUCUGUGGUACCUGUUAUAGCAGCCUGAACGGACUAAGACACCAGAUGAUAAAUGUCCACAGCCCCAAGGUCCCAAAUGACCUUCCUGCCGCCCCCCAACCCUGUGACCUCAUCUGUGACCUGGUAAACCUCACCACCACCAAACAAGUAAAAGGUUAGCCCUGGCCCAGCAGGGAACCUGCCCUCCUGCUGCGGUGGAGCCCUUUCUGAUGGGUGGAUGCCCUGCUGCCCUGAUAGUUAAAUGUUUUUAGUAUCACUGCCAUCUGUGCUGCUUUAAUUUAUAUCACACAGAUGAGAGCAGCCCAGCCUAAAAGGAUGCAGAGUGGAGCAGGAAAAGUUAAUUCUGACAUAAUCAGAAUGGCUUCAGGUUGUGACUUUUGUAGAAGAGCUGGGUGAUGAUUUACUGCUGGUCCCAUGACAUUUGACAUUCCCAAGCUUGAAGGGCGUGCAGCCAGCAGUCAGCUGAGGUCAGCUCGCGCCAGCACCCAAGAGCCCAUGGGAGCAUCUCUCUCGUCCCCCCAUCAGGACACCACAUGGGAAGCUGGGAAUCAGACCUAGUAGAAUGGAGUGACUGCCUUGGGCCAACACUCGGAACACUGGGUACAGGAGAUCCAGACCCUGCUCUACCCUUGGAACUGGAAGGGGUCUCUAGGGGCAGCUGGGUGGGAGGGAAAGAGAGAAGGGUGGGUUGCAGAUGCAGCCUAUCACAUGCCAGUGGGAAUGGCUGUCCUCUCCAAGAUCCCAUUCACCUUUA